rnacentral:lncRNA from 1 species
UCUCUCUUCAAAAAUUAAACUUCAGACUGUUCAGGAUAGCAUAAUAGCAUAGGAGGCGAAUUAAAAAGAAUUAAUUUACUUACAAGAAAAGAUAUCACAAACAUUAAACUCUCUUAUGGCAUUGAUUUGAAAGAUGGGUAUAUGUACAAUGAUGAUGCAACCAGUGUUUAUUUUUGGGUUGAAUGCUUACAGACUCAUGUCCAAUAUUAUUUUACAAACAACAGGGCAUACUAAUGGAUAUUCAUUCUGAAUUUAACAUUUAUGAUUUUUGUCUUAUUUUCCUUAAUACUGUGCCAAAA